AACGAACGCUAGCGGCGGGCCCUAACACAUGCAAGUCGAGGCGGAGAGCUUCGGCUCUCAGCGGCGAACGGGUGAGUAACGCGUAGGUCACGUAUCCUCAGGUGGGGAAUAACCGUGGGAAACCAUGGCUAAUACCGCAUACGGCCCUUCGGGGUCAAAGCCUUCGGGGCGCCAGAGGAGCGGCCUGCGUCCCAUUAUUUAGUCCUAGUUGGUGAGGUAACGGCUCACCAAGGGUACGAUGGGUAGCUGGUCUGAGAGGAUGAUCAGCCACACUGGGACUGAGACACGGCCCAGACUCCUACGGGAGGCAGCAGUGGGGAAUAUUGCGCAAUGGGCGAAAGCCUGACGCAGCCACGCCGCGUGAGUGAUGAAGGCCUUCGGGUUGUAAAGCUCUGUCGGGAGGGACGAAGGGGCAACCCCUGACGGUACCUCGCAAGAAAGCACCGGCUAACUCUGUGCCAGCAGCCGCGGUAA
rnacentral:rRNA from 1 species